rnacentral:rRNA from 1 species
CGAAUGCUGACAUAAGUAACGAUAAAGCGGGUGAAAAGCCCGCUCGCCGGAAGACCAAGGGUUCCUGUCCAACGUUAAUCGGGGCAGGGUGAGUCGACCCCUAAGGCGAGGCCGAAAGGCGUAGUCGAUGGGAAACAGGUUAAUAUUCCUGUACUUGGUGUUACUGCGAAGGGGGGACGGAGAAGGCUAUGUUGGCCGGGCGACGGUUGUCCCGGUUUAAGCGUGUAGGCUGGUUUUCCAGGCAAAUCCGGAAAAUCAAGGCUGAGGCGUGAUGACGAGGCACUACGGUGCUGAAGCAACAAAUGCCCUGCUUCCAGGAAAAGCCUCUAAGCAUCAGGUAACAUCAAAUCGUACCCCAAACCGACACAGGUGGUCAGGUAGAGAAUACCAAGGCGCUUGAGAGAACUCGGGUGAAGGAACUAGGCAAAAUGGUGCCGUAACUUCGGGAGAAGGCACGCUGAUAUGUAGGUGAAGUCCCUCGCGGAUGGAGCUGAAAUCAGUCGAAGAUACCAGCUGGCUGCAACUGUUUAUUAAAAACACAGCACUGUGCAAACACGAAAGUGGACGUAUACGGUGUGACGCCUGCCCGGUGCCGGAAGGUUAAUUGAUGGGGUUAGCGCAAGCGAAGCUCUUGAUCGAAGCCCCGGUAAACGGCGGCCGUAACUAUAACGGUCCUAAGGUAGCGAAAUUCCUUGUCGGGUAAGUUCCGACCUGCACGAAUGGCGUAAUGAUGGCCAGGCUGUCUCCACCCGAGACUCAGUGAAAUUGAACUCGCUGUGAAGAUGCAGUGUACCCGCGGCAAGACGGAAAGACCCCGUGAACCUUUACUAUAGCUUGACACUGAACAUUGAGCCUUGAUGUGUAGGAUAGGUGGGAGGCUUUGAAGUGUGGACGCCAGUCUGCAUGGAGCCGACCUUGAAAUACCACCCUUUAAUGUUUGAUGUUCUAACGUUGACCCGUAAUCCGGGUUGCGGACAGUGUCUGGUGGGUAGUUUGACUGGGGCGGUCUCCUCCUAAAGAGUAACGGAGGAGCACGAAGGUUGGCUAAUCCUGGUCGGACAUCAGGAGGUUAGUGCAAUGGCAUAAGCCAGCUUGACUGCGAGCGUGACGGCGCGAGCAGGUGCGAAAGCAGGUCAUAGUGAUCCGGUGGUUCUGAAUGGAAGGGCCAUCGCUCAACGGAUAAAAGGUACUCCGGGGAUAACAGGCUGAUACCGCCCAAGAGUUCAUAUCGACGGCGGUGUUUGGCACCUCGAUG